UACAGAGGUCUCGAGCGUAGGCGGAAUCACUGGGCUUAAAGCGUGUGUAGGCGGGUCGUUAAGUGCCUUGUGAAAUCCCAUGGCUCAACCAUGGAACUGCUGGGCAUACUGGCGAUCUUGUGCAACCUAGGGGCGAGCGGAACAGAUGGUGGAGCGGUGAAAUGCGUAGAUAUCUGGAGGAACACCGGUGGCGAAGGCGGCAUCCUGGACCGACAUUGACGCUGGAGGCGCGAAAGCGUGGGGAGCAAACAGG
rnacentral:rRNA from 1 species